GACGAACGCUGGCGGCGUGCCUAACACAUGCAAGUCGAGCGGAGAUAAGCGGAAGGUAACUGAAGCUUAUCUUAGCGGCGGACGGGUGAGUAACACGUGGGCAACCUGCCUUGAAGUGGGGGAUAACACCGGGAAAUCGGUGCUAAUACCGCAUAACAUACACAAACUGCAUGGUAAGUGUAUCAAAGGAGCAAUCCGCUUUAAGAUGGGCCCGCGGCUGAUUAGCUAGUUGGUAAGGUAACGGCUUACCAAGGCGACGAUCAGUAGCCGACCUGAGAGGGUGACCGGCCACACUGGAACUGAGAAACGGUCCAGACUCCUACGGGAGGCAGCAGUGGGGAAUAUUGGGCAAUGGGGGAAACCCUGACCCAGCAACGCCGCGUGAGGGAAGAAGGUUUUCGGAUUGUAAACCUCUGUCCUUGGUGAAGAAAGAAUGACGGUAGCCAAGGAGGAAGCCCCGGCUAACUACGUG
rnacentral:rRNA from 1 species